rnacentral:rRNA from 3 species
GGUGCGAUCAUACCAGCGCUAC